UGGGGAAUAUUGGACAAUGGGCGAAAGCCUGAUCCAGCCAUGCCGCGUGUGUGAAGAAGGUCUUCGGAUUGUAAAGCACUUUAAGUUGGGAGGAAGGGCAGUAAGCGAAUACCUUGCUGUCUUGACGUUACCGACAGAAUAAGCACCGGCUAACUCUGUGCCAGCAGCCGCGGUAAUACAGAGGGUGCAAGCGUUAAUCGGAAUUACUGGGCGUAAAGCGCGCGUAGGUGGUUCGUUAAGUUGAAUGUGAAAGCCCCGGGCUCAACCUGGGAACUGCAUCCAAAACAGGCGAGCUAGAGUAGGGCAGAGGGUGGUGUAAUUACCUGUGUAUCGGUGAAAUUCGUAGAUAUAGGAAGGAACACCAGUGGGGAAGGCGACCACCUGGGCUCAUACUGACACUAAGGUACGAAAGCGUGGGGAGCAAACAGG
rnacentral:rRNA from 1 species